GCCUGGGUGGCUCAGUCGGUUGAGCCUCUGACUUCGGCUCAGGUCAUGAUCUCACGGUUCGUGGGUUCAAGCCCCACGUCGGACU
rnacentral:tRNA from 1 species